AUUAAUACUAUUUUGGCAGAUUAAUGUAAUAAAUUUAGAAUUUAUAAAUGUAUACUGAUUAUUNN
rnacentral:tRNA from 1 species